UACGAAGGGUGCAAGCGUUAAUCGGAAUUACUGGGCGUAAAGCGCGCGUAGGUGGUUUGUUAAGUUGGAUGUGAAAGCCCCGGGCUCAACCUGGGAACUGCAUCCAAAACUGGCAAGCUAGAGUAUGGCAGAGGGUGGUGGAAUUUCCUGUGUAGCGGUGAAAUGCGUAGAUAUAGGAAGGAACACCAGUGGCGAAGGCGACCACCUGGGCUAAUACUGACACUGAGGUGCGAAAGCGUGGGGAGCAAACAGGAUUAGAUACCCCUGUAGUCC
rnacentral:rRNA from 2 species